GAGGGUGUAGCUGAGUGGUAGAGCACAUGCUUGCCAUGCAUGAGGUACUGGGUUCAAUCCCCAGUACCUCCG
rnacentral:tRNA from 1 species